GACUGCACAUGCGCCCUGAAGUCCAAGUGACAGCUUCCCCAGGCCGAGAGAGAGCAUGCAAACAGGGGAAGGAGCAGAGGGAGAGUCCCAAGAAGACUCUGGCCUGAGCGCUGUACCCGGCAUGGAACACCAUCCCGAGAUCAUGACCUGAGCCAAAAGUAAGAGCCAGACACUCAACAGACUGAACCACCCAAGUGCCUCAGCAACCAUUUGCAGAAGUAUCAUUAUCUCUGGUGGGAAACGGAGUCUCUGAGAGGUUCAAGUGACUCUCCCUGGGUGAGCACAUCAAAGUUCUUCCGGUCCCUAACCUUUAAUUAGACACUUUUCUGAAGUGUGAAGCUGGGCUAUACUUGUCAGAACAGACACUAGAGGAGCACCUGGGUGGCUCGGUCAUUAGGUGUCUGCCUUUGGCUUCGGUUGUGAUCCUGGGGUCCUGGGAUUGAGCCCUGCAUCAGGCUCCCUGCUUGGCAGGAAGCCUGCUUCUCCCCCUCCCUCUGC